AAAUUAGUGGUCUCAGAUGAGUAGGCAGCUCCUUUUCCAUAGGUAUCUCCUUCACCAUAAUUAGUUUUCUCUCCAUAGGUAGUUUCAGAUGGAACAUCUCCAUAGCCACUCUUGUUUUCAUAGCCACUCUCUCCAUAACUAGUCUUAUUUUCAUAGCCACUAUCUCCAUAGCCACUCUUGUUUUCAUAGCCACUAUCUCCAUAGCCACUCUUGUUUUCAUAGCCACUAUCUCCAUAACCAGUCUUAUUUUCAUAGCCACUAUCUCCAUCGCUAGUCUUAUUUUCAUAGCCACUAUCUCCAUAGUUACCUCCCUCACCAUAACUAGUUUUCUCUACAUAUCCACUUUCUCCAUAGUCAGUUUUCUCACCAUAUUUGUUAUCCCCAUAGUUAUCUCCCCCACCAUAACUAGUUUUCUCACCAUAUGUAUUCUCUCCGUAGGUAGUUUUUUCAGUAUCACCACCAUAUGGAGUUUCUCCAUAGGUAGUUUUGUCUUCCUCCUUGUCCUUGUGGUGGAAGAGACCGAAGUGGUGCUUCUUCUCUUCAGCCAUUUUGGUGAUAAAUGUGAUGGUUGACGAGUUU
rnacentral:lncRNA from 1 species